ACCUGUCCCACUCAGCUUGCUGAGGAGGAGAGCGGGGCAGUGCAAUUACGGUGCGGGGGCGACGUGGGUAGGGGGCCCGCAGCCCGGGAGCCGGCAGUUUGCUCCGCUCCACCCCUCGGCGUGGCCUGGGGGCGGCCUCUGCUGCCCGAGAAGCCAGACGCCCGUCUCCAGAGUCCUUGAGAGGCCCCUGUCAUCAAUGUCAGUAUCAUCAUCAUCAUCAUCAUCAUGAUAGAACGGAUUCCUCUGGAAGAUUCUAGAAAAAUAAAGAGAUGGAUGGGGAGACACAUAGGACAUUUCCCAUCUGAGUUUAGGAUCAGAGGGAGGUGCAGCCAUGGAGCGAUGUUCAGAAAGGCUGUUGGCCAUGAAGAUGAAGGAAGUCGUGGGGCACAAGCUAAGGAAGGUGAGUGACUGCUGGAAACUGGAAACAAACAAACAAACAAGGAAACAUUUUCUUCUAGAUACUCUAGAAGGAAGGCACCCUGCUGGUACCUUGAAUUUAGCCCAAUGAGAACUGUGUUGGAUCUCUGACCUCCACAGCCAUAAGGUGAUAAAUCUGUGCUGGUUUAAGCUAUUAAGCUUAUGGAAAUUUGUUACAGUGGUAAUAGAAAAAUAACAUAGUGAGCGGUAGUGUAAGGGAUUAAAGGUCUAGUAUAGGGUGUGGAGAGGGUUCUGACAUUUACACCUAAAAAACAACCAGGUGAAGUGGGAAGGUGUUUUAAGGAAGACCUACCUGGCAGGGCUGUUAAGCAGACUGUUUGGAGUGAGGAGAGCAUUGGAGUAGAGGAAUCAAUUAAAUCUCUACCAGAAAAAUAAGGAAUAAAAUCUAACAGGGCUUCAGUGUUACUGGAUGUAGGAAUGGGAAUGGACAGAGAGAUAUAAACAUUACUUUGAAAUUAGCUACAGGUUUGAUGACUGCAUGUUGGGGAGAGUUAGCCAAUGUGUGGACUGAAUGCAUCCCCUCAAAAUCCUUAUUUUGAAACCCCAUCUCCCAGGGUGAUGGUAUUGGGAGGCGGGGUCUUUGGGAGGUAAUUAGUAGGAUAAAAUGAAGUCAAGAGAGUAGAGCCCUCAUGAAUGGGAUUAGGGCACUUAUAAGGGGCCCCAGAGUGCUUGCUUCUCUUUGCUCUCCACUCCAUGAAGAUAGUGGGAAGACAGCCAUCUUCAAGCCA